rnacentral:rRNA from 1 species
UGCGAAGGGUGCAAGCGUUACUCGGAAUUACUGGGCGUAAAGCGUGCGUAGGUGGUUUGUUAAGUCUGAUGUGAAAGCCCUGGGCUCAACCUGGGAAUUGCAUUGGAUACUGGCAGGCUAGAGUGCGGUAGAGGGUAGUGGAAUUCCCGGUGUAGCAGUGAAAUGCGUAGAGAUCGGGAGGAACACCAGUGGCGAAGGCGGGUCUCUGGACAGUUCCUGACACUGAGGCACGAAGGCCAGGGGAGCAAACGGG